UGGGUGAUCUGCCCUGCACUUUGGGAUAAGCCUGGGAAACUGGGUCUAAUACCGAAUACACCUUGCUGGCUGCAUGGCCUGGUGGGGGAAAGCUUUUGCGGUGUGGGAUGGGCCCGCGGCCUAUCAGCUUGUUGGUGGGGUGAUGGCCUACCGAGGCGACGACGGGUAGCCGGCCUGAGAGGGUGUCCGGCCACACUGGGACUGAGAUACGGCCCAGACUCCUACGGGAGCA
rnacentral:rRNA from 1 species